GUGCCAGCCGCCGCGGUAAUACAUAGGGAGCGAGCGUUAUCCGGAAUUAUUGGGUGUAAAGGGUGCGUAGACGGGAAAGCAAGUUAGUUGUGAAAUCCCUCGGCUUAACUGAGGAACUGCAGCUAAAACUACUUUUCUUGAGUGUUGGAGAGGAAAGUGGAAUUCCUAGUGUAGCGGUGAAAUGCGUAGAUAUUAGGAGGAACACCAGUGGCGAAGGCGACUUUCUGGACAAUAACUGACGUUGAGGCACGAAAGUGUGGGGAGCAAACAGGAUUAGAUACCCUGGUAGUCCACACCGUAAACGAUGGAUACUAGGUGUAGGGUGUAUUAAGCGCUCUGUGCCGUCGCUAACGCAUUAAGUAUCCCACCUGGGGAGUACGACCGCAAGGUUGAAACUCAAAGGAAUUGACGGGGGCCCGCACAAGCAGUGGAGUAUGUGGUUUAAUUCGAAGCAACGCGAAGAACCUUACCAGGGCUUGACAUAUACAGGAAUAUAUUAGAGAUAGUAUAGCUCUUCGGAGUCUGUAUACAGGUGGUGCAUGGUUGUCGUCAGCUCGUGUCGUGAGAUGUUGGGUUAAGUCCCGCAACGAGCGCAACCCCUGCUUUUAGUUGCCAGCACGUAAUGGUGGGAACUCUAGAAGGACUGCCGGUGAUAAAUCGGAGGAAGGUGGGGACGACGUCAAAUCAUCAUGCCCUUUAUGUCCUGGGCUACACACGUACUACAAUGGCCGCAACAGAGGGAAGCAAAAUAGUGAUAUGGAGCAAAACCCCAAAAACGGUCUCAGUUCGGAUUGAAGUCUGAAAUUCGACUUCAUGAAGCUGGAAUUGCUAGUAAUGGCAGGUCAGCAUACUGCCGUGAAUACGUUCCCGGGCCUUGUACACACCGCCCGU
rnacentral:rRNA from 1 species